rnacentral:rRNA from 1 species
AAGGGCACCACAAGAACGCGUGGAGCAUGUGGCUUAAUUUGACUCAACGCGGGAAAUCUUACCGGGUCCGGACACACUGAGGAUUGACAGGCAAUAUUAAUACAUUAAUAAAUUUAUUUAUUAUAUGUAUUAUGUUAAAUAUGCUAGUCCUUUCAUGAUUAUGUGAUAGGUGGUGCAUGGCCGUUCUUAGUUCGUGGAGUGAUCUGUCUGCUUAAUUGCGUUUCACUAAGGGCCUAUAAAUUUACGUGUGUUGCGGCACUUUGACCCCUCUGUUCUUCGUAGCAGAGCGCGCGUCUUAGUUUGCUUUGCUCGCACAAUUAGGUCCUGAAAGCAACGAACGUGACCGCAACCUCUUGUUGCCUUUAUACCAAACAUGUUUAUUAAUAAUUGUUUUUUAUUAAACUUUUAUUGGUAUUCAUGAAAAAAAGGCUUUUUAAACUAGAGGGACCGCUGUUACUUUCUUAAACCAGAGGAAGGUUGCGGCAAUAACAGGUCUGUGAUGCCCUUAGAUGUUCCGGGCUGCACACGUGCUACAAUGAUUAUUGCAGUGAGCAUCUCAUUUUUACACACCGCAUGCGCGAGUCCAUUUAUUCUAUCCUUCGGGACUGUUUUAAAUGUGUAUCUCUGCGCGCGGUAAAGCCUGCUUCGAAAGUAAGUGGGUAAUCAAUUAGAAGUAAUGAUUUCCUUUUUUUAGCACACAUAUAUACGGCGUUUAUGCCCGGGCUGCCUUGUUGUAGCUUUUGUGCGUAUAGAUGUUUUUUCCGUAUGUGCGAUUGUCAAUUCAUGGUGGGGACAGACCAUUGUUAAUUGUUGGUCUCGGUCUUAACUAGGAAUGCCUUGUACGGGUCUUUGGUUCAACAAACCACCCGGAAUACGUNNNUGCCCUUUGUACACACCGCCCGUC